UACGGAGGGUGCGAGCGUUGUCCGGAAUCACUGGGCGUAAAGGGCGCGUAGGCGGCCUGAUAAGUAGGAGGUGAAAUCCUGCGGCUUAACCGCAGGGCUGCCUUCUAAACUGUCAGGCUUGAGCACAGUAGAGGCAGGUGGAAUUCCCGGUGUAGCGGUGGAAUGCGUAGAGAUCGGGAAGAACAUCAGUGGCGAAGGCGGCCUGCUGGGCUGUUGCUGACGCUGAGGCGCGACAGCGUGGGGAGCAAACAGG
rnacentral:rRNA from 1 species